UCCUACGGGAGGCAGCAGUGGGGAAUAUUGGGCAAUGGGGGAAACCCUGACCCAGCAACGCCGCGUGAAGGACGAAGGCCUUCGGGUUGUAAACUUCUUUGAUCAGGGACGAAACAAAUGACGGUACCUGAGGAACAAGCCACGGCUAACUACGUGCCAGCAGCCGCGGUAAUA
rnacentral:rRNA from 1 species